GAUGAACGCUGGCGGCGUGCCUAAUACAUGCAAGUCGAGCGAACGGACGAUAAUCUUGCUUCUCUGAUGUUAGCGGCGGACGGGUGAGUAACACGUGUAUAACCUACCUAUAAUACUGGGAUAACUUCGGGAAACCGGAGCUUAUACCGUAUAAUAUUUUGAACCGCAUGGUUCAAAAGUGAAAUACGGUCUUGCUGUAACUUCUCGAUGGAUCCGCGCUGCAUUAGCUAGUUGGUAAGGUAACGGCUUACCAAGGCAACGAUGCAUAACCGACCUGAGAGGGUGGUCGGCCACACUGGAACGUAGACACGGUCCAGACUCCUACGGGAGGCAGCAGUAGGGAAUCUUACGCAAUGGGGGAAAGCCUGACGGAGCAACGCGACGUGAGUGAUGAAGGUCUUCGGAUCGUGAAACUGUGUUAUUAGGGAAGAACAUAUGUGUAAGUAACUGUGCACAUCUUGACGGUACCUAAUCAGAAAGCCACGGCUAACUACGUG
rnacentral:rRNA from 1 species